rnacentral:piRNA from 1 species
UUCUGGCUGAUUCGUGGUCUCACUGGCCUC